GGUGAUGUAGCCAAGUGGUAAGGCAAAGGUCUGCAAAACCUCUAUCCCCCGGUUCGAAUCCGGGUAUCACCU
rnacentral:tRNA from 1 species